GUGCCAGCCGCCGCGGUAAUACCGGCAGCUCGAGUGGUCGUGGCUUUUAUUGGGCCUAAAACGUCCGUAGCCUGUUUGGUAAAUCUGUGGGUAAAUCAACGAGCUUAACUCGUUGAAUUCUGCAGAGACUGCCAGACUAGGGACCGGGAGAGGUAUGAGGUACUCUGGGGGUAGGGGUAAAAUCCUGUCAUCCUCAGAGGACCACCUGUGGCGAAGGCGUCAUACUGGUACGGAUCCGACGGUCAGGGACGAAGCCUAGGGGCGCGACCUGUUUUAGAUACCCGGGUAGUCCUAGGUGUAAACGCCGUGGCUUUUUAGUGGGGUCCGCAAUGGGCCCCCGGUGCCGGAGUGAAGAUGUUAAGUUCACUGCCUGGGGAGUACGGUCGCAAGGCUGAAAUUAAAGGAAUUGGCGGGGGAGCACUGCAACGGGAGGAGCGUGCGGUUUAAUUGGAUUCAACGCCGGAAAACUCACCAGGGCCGACUGUUAGAUGAAGACCAGUGUAAUGAACUUGUCGGAUUUUCAGAGAGGUGGUGCAUGGCCGUCGUCAGUUCGUACUGUAAAGCGUUCUGUUAAGUCAGAUAACGAACGAGACCCUCAUCUCUAUUUGCUACCCGUCUCUCCGGAGGCGGCGCACUAUAGGGAGACCGCUGGUGUUAAACCAGAGGAAGGCGAGGGCAACGACAGGUCAGUAUGCCCCGAAUGCCCUGGGCUACACGCGCGCUACAAAGGACGGGACAAUGGGAAGCUAGGCCGAGAGGCCACGCUAGCCCGAAACCCGUUCGUAGAGAGGAUUGAGGGCUGUAACUCGCCCUCAUGAAGCUGGAUUCCGUAGUAAUCGUGUUUCAACAUAGCACCGCGUUUUUGCCCCUGCUCCUUGCACUCACCGCCCGUCAAGGGUUUUUUUU
rnacentral:rRNA from 1 species